UGGUGGCAAGUACAACCAGAAGAGGAAUUUAUAUUAAAAACCAGCUCUUUAUGUUCCUCAGCAGUACUCUUUUCCUUGUGUGUCACUAUGUGCCUCUACUGAAAAGCAGUUCUGGUGAGCCUUCUUUUUCCUCACAGAAAGACUCACGGGUGUUUUCUGGUUGCUUACAAUGCAUUAGACCUUUGCUCAGCUUUCCUCCCUCCCUUUCUGUCCUCUCUCACAAACAUUUAACUUAGGCGGUUCUCUAAGGCUUUGAUACUUUGCAGCUGAGGGAAGAGCCGUGCAUUGCUUGGCAGGCUGACCUAUUUCACAAACACAGGCAAUUACUCCCACGGUGGAGCAGCCCUUAAUUCACAGCCAGGGACUGCAGGAGAGCUUUCUGGUGUGCAGCAAUCCCCUGAUGCCCUGGAAGGCAAGCAGCUGUCCCUCCUGUGCAAAGACUGUGGCCUUGGGAAAGGAGACGUGGCUACACUGCUCCAAAGCUUGUCAGCUGAGUCAAUAAUCCUUUAAAACUGUCAGCAGCAAAGGCAAAUGACAGCCACCUUCAAGCUCCUUUAAUUUAUGCCAGGAUAAUAUGUUGGCAGACUCCCUCAAUCCAUCCUCCUGCUCUGAAGGCCAAGGACCUACAUUUCCUAUGGCAAAUGCAUGUGAUUAUGAAAGCAGAUGAGCUGGCUUGGAGGGAAAGCAUGAAGAACAGCAAAUAGGUGCUACCUGUGUUUGACUACACACAGGCUGGAAACCAGAGCAGUGAGUUGAUGGGACAGGACAAAUGAGCUGCCAAGAAGAAUGAGCAUGAAAAGGGCAAUGACAAGUUGUGGAGAGGCAAAUUAAAGAAGCAGCUGGAAGUUGUAACACCAGAAGUGUCUAUUGAAAGCAGCUGAGAGGAAUCAUAGGAGACGUUAUUCCUAUAUAUAUAUAUGCUAGCAUGUUCUGUGAGUAUUGUGUAACACAUAGGAGGAGUAAUAUCAGAUGUAAUUCUGACUUACAUUUCAACAAGGAGGAGUUCCUGACACAGAUUAUGACGCAUUAAUCUACAUCAGUGAGCAGUGGGAGAAAGUUAAGCUGAAUGUUGGCAAGCUGAUGAAACCAUCUAUGUUGCCUUGAAAAUCCUCAGCUAUAAAUGAAGCCUGUGGCAAAAACUGGAAAUAUGACCUACUGGAGACUCAUCCUCAGACACUGACACUCCCAUGUUUGUGGGUAGGAAACAGUCUGAGUGUUAAAACCACAGGAGUGGAACAUUUCAGUAGGGUGCCGUUUCAAUCUAGUCACAAUCAGAUAUAGUGGGAGUUAAGAAAAAAGGAAAAGUGCUUUUCUGACCUCAGGAAGCUUAUUUCAGUUGAACAGAAAGCCUUUGAUCUUGGUUUAUGAUAGCUAAUACAUGACAAACUUGUUGAUGUGGGAAAGUAAUAGGAUUAUUUUGGCAAUAUGUUUAUGGGAAAAUAUCCCAGGUGAGAGCAAGAGUUUAUACUGUUAUCCCUUUAGAAAACAGGAACGCAUGAAACAAAAAUAAGGUUCAUCUUUAGGUUUCAUCUCACUGUAUUGAUCAGGGAAUGAGAUCCAUGAGCAUGAAAUACUGACAACAUGACCUGGACACAUGGCCCUUGAUAUGACCAAAAGCUGCUCUUAAAGCCUGCAAAGCCUCCUGUGUACUAAACCACAUAUGGAAGCACAGUAUAUACACCAUGACACACAUUGCUCUCACACACUGUGUUUGAGAACAAAAGAAUUAGUGCAGAAACCCAUAGGCUAUUUUCAAAUUGCCUGCAAGGCUGCCUCCACAUGAAUCUUUAGCUUAUGCCUAUACUUGCAGAGCAGUGUGGCAAUAGAUGUGUAAAUAUAGCAAGACUUUUUCUGAAGCUGGGGGGAUACAGUCUUGAUGUGCUGUUUCCUAAAGGACUAAGAUGUGAAUAUUAGAGAUCCUUGGCUGUGGUUCAGAGAAGCACCUGGAAGCUUGGAUGCAUAUAAUGUCACUUCUCCAGCUGAGAAGGAAAAUCAAAAAAUAGGCUUUCUUAAAAUAAUGUUUCAAAGUCUCACAUCCCAGGCACUGUUUUCACACCUAGAUGUCCUGCUGCAUUUGGUGUUCCUGCUUUUAGAUGAAUUUACUCCUGGAAAUGGUGGGAUGAGUACAAGUUUUAAAGGAAGGAUAAAGCAGACAGAUGCCUUGGCAGGAGUUUGGUUUCUGAAAUCAGGUUGAAUGUCAAGGAGCACUUUCUCAGAUCAGUUCAUUCGUUUGUAGGGUUUCCAGCUGACUCGAGCUGUUCUGUCCUUGUGCUAUAUUGGUUUUAUGUACUGAUAUGAUUAGAAAAAAAGUCAUUUAUGGACCUGGAGAUACCUUUAAUCUUUCAAGUCCAAAUCAGGUUUCUCAAAAAUGCCAUUGAGGAGAAUUCCAUUGAUUCUCAUCUAGUUAUUCAAGCUUGCUUGCUUCCUUGAAACAGUAUUACAUUUGUGAAGGUAUUCAUCUCUCUAUACAUUAUCUUUUCCUUCAUAUGCAUUUGCUUUCACUUGUGAAAGUCACGUGUGUUAGUUUUUUAUCUUGCCUUUAAUGAGCUGUAGUUCAUUGUAGUGUAUUAUGUAUUAUAUUUAAAGUAUACAUAGAGAAAUGCCACGAUCUAUAAAAUGCAAGCACAUAUCA